rnacentral:rRNA from 1 species
CCAAUAGCGUAUAUUAAAGUUGUUGCAGUUAAAAAGCUCGUAGUUGAAUUUCGGGAUCAAGGAAUCGGUCAUGCCUUGGUAUGUACUGGUUUUAUUGGUUCUCACCUUCUAAAGAACCAUAAUGUCAUUCAUUUGAUGUUAUGGGGAAUUAGAACUGUUACCUUGAAAAAAUUAGAGUGUUUAAAGCAGGCUUACGCUUGAAUACAUUAGCAUGGAAUAAUGAAAUAGGACAUCAGAUUCUAUUUUGUUGGUUUCUAGGAUCGAUGUAAUGAUUAAUAGGGAUAGUUGGGGGCAUUAGUAUUCAAUUGUCAGAGGUGAAAUUCUUGGAUUUAUUGAAGACUAACUACUGCGAAAGCAUUUGCCAAGGAUGUUUUCAUUAAUCAAGAACGGAAGUUAGGGGAUCGAAGACGAUCAGAUACCGUCGUAGUCUUAACCAUAAACUAUGCCGACUAGGGAUCGGAUGAUGUUAAUUUUUUAAUGACUCAUUCGGCGCCUUACG